AUUGAACGCUGGCGGCAGGCCUAACACAUGCAAGUCGAACGAGUGGCGGACGGGUGAGUAAUGUCUGGGAAACUGCCUGAUGGAGGGGGAUAACUACUGGAAACGGUAGCUAAUACCGCAUACCAUCGGAUGUGCCCAGAUGGGAUUAGCUAGUAGGUGGGGUAAAGGCUCACCUAGGCGACGAUCCCUAGCUGGUCUGAGAGGAUGACCAGCCAACCUGGAACGGGGAAACGGCCCAGACUCCUACGGGAGUCAGCAGUGGGGAAUAUGGCAAAAUGGGCGCAAGCCUGAGGCAGCCAUGCCGCGGGUAGGAAGAAGGCCUUCGGUUGGUAAAGUACUUUCAGCGGGGAGGCGUUACCCGCAGAAGAAGCACCGGCUAACUCCGUGCCAGCAGCCGCGGUAAUAC
rnacentral:rRNA from 1 species